ACUUUACAAUGCAGGCAACUGUGAUAAGGGAACCCCGAGUGCCCGUAUGGACGGGCUGUUCAGGUGCUUAAAAACCACCUGGAGAAAGGGCCGGGCAAGACCGGUGCCAGCCGCCGCGGUAAUACCGGCGGCUCGAGUGGUGGCCACUAUUACUGGGCUUAAAGCGUCCGUAGCUUGGUCGUUAAGCCUCUGGGGAAAUCUUCCGGCUCAACCGGAAGGCGUCUCAGGGGAACUGGCGGCCUAGGGAUCGGGAGAGGUGAGAGGUACUCUGGGGGUAGGAGUGAAAUCCUGUAAUCCUCAGGGGACCACCUGUGGCGAAGGCGUCUCACCAGAACGACUCCGACAGUGAGGGACGAAAGCUGGGGGAGCAAACCGG
rnacentral:rRNA from 1 species